GCCUUCGUGGUCUAGUGGUUAUGACGCUCGCCUUCUCAGCGAGAGGUCGAGAGGUCACAGGUUCGAAUCCCGGCGGAGGAA